AUCAUUCUCAUGAAUCAAGUCAUCAAGCAAAUCCAAAUGCAUCAAGUAAUCUCUUAUUGUCUCCAAAUGAAAAGAAGGCAUGACAUGCUGUAAUGCUGUUUAGAAGAUGACAUCGGUUCUACUUGGGAAAAUUCUUGUUGCUUUAUUGGGUUGUUAGACAUUAAAUGAAAGUAGUUUAUUUUUGUGUUAGAUUUGGAAUUGAGGGAAGAACUCUUGGUUUUCAAGAUUGAAUGGUGGUUUAUUUUUGGACAUAUACUUUAUAAAUAUAUGUUUGUGGUGAUGUAAUAGUUUUUCUUUUUAA